rnacentral:rRNA from 1 species
GUGCCAGCAGCCGCGGUAAUACGUAGGCAGCGAGCGUUGUUCGGAGUUACUGGGCGUAAAGGGUGUGUAGGCGGUUUUCUAAGUUUGGUGUGAAAUCUCCCGGCUCAACCGGGAGGGUGCGCCGAAAACUGGGAGACUAGAGUGCGGGAUGGGAGAGUAGAAUUCCUGGUGUAGCGGUGAAAUGCGUAGAUAUCAGGAGGAAUACCGGUGGUGUAGACGGCUCUCUGGACCGCCACUGACGCUGAGACACGAAAGCGUGGGUAGCAAACAGGAUUAGAAACCCGAGUAGUCC